rnacentral:rRNA from 1 species
CCUACGGGUGGCAGCAGUCGAGGAUUUUUCUCAAUGGGGGCAACCCUGAAGGAGCGACGCCGCGUGGAGGAUGAAGGGCUUCGGCUUGUAAACUCCUGUCACCGACGAACAAAGCGUCCGGGCGAACAUCCCGGACGAUUGAUGGUAGUCGGAGAGGAAGGGGCGGCUAACUCUGUGCCAGCAGCCGCGGUGAUACAGAGGCCCCGAGCGUUGUUCGGAUUUACUGGGCGUAAAGGGUGUGUAGGGGGUCGGGUAAGUUUGACGUGAAAGCCCGCUGCUU